rnacentral:rRNA from 1 species
UAGUCCACGCCGUAAACGAUGGAUACUAGAUGUCGGGGGCUCUUGCCCUUCCGGUGUCGUAGCUAACGCGUUAAGUAUCCCGCCUGUGGAGUACGGCCGCAAGGCUAAAACAUAAAGAAAUUGACGGGGGCCCGCACAAGCGGUGGAGUAUGUGGUUUAAUUCGAUGCAACGCGAAGAACCUUACCUGGAUUUGACAUCCCGUGCUACCCUGGGAAACUAGGGGUUCUCUUCGGAGACGCGGUGACAGGUGCUGCAUGGCUGUCGUCAGCUCGUGUCGUGAGAUGUUGGGUUAAGUCCCGCAACGAGCGCAACCCUAUCUUUAGUUGCCAUCAGGUAAUGCUGGGAACUCUAAAGAGACUGCCGUCGUAAGACGUGAGGAAGGCGGGGAUGAUGUCAAAUCAUCAUGGCCUUUAUGCCUAGGGCUACACACGUGCUACAAUGGUGCAUACAGCGGGUAGCGAAAUCGCGAGGUGGAGCUAAUCUUGUAAAGUGCAUCCCAGUUCGGAUUG